rnacentral:rRNA from 1 species
UGGCGGACGGGUGAGUAAUGUCUGGGAAACUGCCCGAUGGAGGGGGAUAACUACUGGAAACGGUAGCUAAUACCGCAUAACGUCGCAAGACCAAAGAGGGGGACCUUCGGGCCUCUUGCCAUCGGAUGAACCCAUAUGGGAUUAGCUUGUAGGUAAGGUAACGGCUUACCUAGGCGACGAUCCCUAGCUGGUCUGAGAGGAUGACCAGCCACACUGGAACUGAGACACGGUCCAG